rnacentral:rRNA from 1 species
CCUACGGGGGGCAGCAGUGGGGAAUAUUGCACAAUGGGGGAAACCCUGAUGCAGCAACGCCGCGUGAGCGAUGAAGGCCUUCGGGUCGUAAAGCUCUGUCCUAAGGGAAGAAUACUGACGGUACCUUAGGAGGAAGCCCCGGCUAACUACGUGCCAGCAGCCGCGGUAAUACGUAGGGGGGUAGCGUUAUCCGGAAUUACUGGGCGUAAAGGGUGCGUAGUCGGCCCUUUAAGGCAGAGGUGCAAGGAUACGGCUCAACCGUAGUAAGCCUUUGAAACUGUAGGGCUUGAGUGAAGGAGAGGAGACUGGAAUUCCCAGUGUAGCGGUGAAAUGCGUAGAUAUUGGGAGGAACACCAGUUGCGAAGGCCGCUCUCUGGACUGUAACUGACGAUGAGGCACGAAAGCGUCGGGAGCGAACAGGAUUAGAUACCCCGGUAGUC